GCAGUUGUGGCCGAGUGGUUAAGGCGAUGGACUAGAAAUCUAUUGGGGUUCGAAUACUGUCGACUGCG
rnacentral:tRNA from 1 species